rnacentral:rRNA from 1 species
UACGUAGGGAGCAAGUGUUGUCCGGAAUCAUUGGGCGUAAAGCGCGCGUAGGCGGUUUGGUAAGCCGGGUGUGAAACCCUCGAGCUCAACUCGGGGCGGCCACUCGGAACUGCUAUGACUUGAGUCUGGUAGGGGAACACGGAAUACCUGGUGUAGCGGUGAAAUGCUUAGAUAUCAGGUGGAACACCAGUGGCGAAGGCGGUGUUCUGGGCCAGUACUGACGCUGAGGCGCGAAAGCGUGGGGAGCGAACAGG